rnacentral:misc_RNA from 1 species
GAUGAAGAACGCAGCGAAAUGCGAUAAGUAAUGUGAAUUGCAGAAUUCAGUGAAUCAUCGAAUCUUUGAACGCACAUUGCGCCCCCUGGUAUUCCGGGGGGCAUGCCUGUCCGAGCGUCAUUACAACCCUCAAGCAUAGCUUGGUGUUGGGCUUUUUUACGUCCUUGACUGGGAUGGGCCUAAAAAUUAGUGGCGAUGGCUUUUUUACUUUCAAGCGUAGUAAAUCUCGUCUUGCUAAAGAGGAAAAAGAUUUUUUUUCUGCCAAAAAUUUUAACAUUUAAAGUUGACCUCGGAUCAGGUAGGAUUACCCGCUGAACUUAAGCAUAUCAAUAAGCGGAGGA